GGGCUCCUCCAAGGCUCCAACAGAUACUAGAGAGGGGAUAUAGGAUCCAUAUACUGUAUGAUCCAUCAGGAAGAGAUGUGUAGAAAAACAGACAGAUGCGGAGAGCACUCCAUGCACAGCUCACUUCCUGAAAAGGAGAGUUAUGGCUUCCUGGGAGAGGCAUGCUGGAGGCUGAGACGUCCCCAGGAGCCAAGAGGAAUCAGAAGGAGUAGACAGGAAGAAGAUGAGUUGACAGCUGAGGGUGGGUUCCAGUGUUCCAAACAGGGUCAGGUCUUGGUGGUGUGCUGCUGCACCUUGGUGUAUAACCACGACAGACG